GGAGCUGGAGCCGGUUUGAACCGGUAGACUUCUGUCCUGGAGGCUGAAAGCCUGAAGGAGGGAAAAGGUCCUGUCAGCCCCAUAAAAGUUCCAAAAUCGUGUCAGAGGAGGAGGAGACCAGGGAACAAACAGUCCAAAAAAUGGAGCUUGAACUUCUCGAUGAAGCAAGUACGUGCUUUCCGCCCCCCUGUUCUCCCAAGCAAUACAUCAUCUACCAGAACUUACUACCAGAAUUUAUGAGAGGCUACAAGGAAGGAGAUCUACACAGAAGAGUUAUUCUUCCCC